rnacentral:rRNA from 1 species
AUUGAACGCUGGCGGCAUGCCUAACACAUGCAAGUCGAACGGCGAGCGCGGGUAGCAAUACCUGGCGGCGAGUGGCGGACGGGUGAGGAAUACAUCGGGAAUCUACCCAGUCGUGGGGGAUAACGCAUCGAAAGGUGCGCUAAUACCGCAUACGACCGAGAGGUGAAAGCGGAGGACCGAAAGGCUUCGCGCGAAUGGAUGAGCCGAUGUCGGAUUAGCAGUUGGCGGGGUAAGAGCCCACCAAGGCGACGAUCCGUAGCUGGUCUGAGAGGAUGAUCAGCCACACUGGGACUGAGACACGGCCCAGACUCCUACGGGAGGCAGCAGUGGGAAUAUUGGACAAUGGGCGCAAGCCUGAUCCAGCAAUGCGCGUGUGUGAA